GAGUUAAGUAUAAACCCCUUUACAAGUAUCAAUUGGAGGGCAAGUCUGGUGCCAGCAGCCGCGGUAAUUCCAGCUCCAAUAGCGUAUAUUAAAGUUGUUGCAGUUAAAAAGCUCGUAGUUGGAUUUCUGUUAAUAAUUUAUAUAUAAUAUUACGGUAUUUAUAUAAUAUUAACAUAAUUCAUAUUACUUUAUAUUUUAGAGUAUAUGAAAUUUUACUUUGAGAAAAUUAGAGUGCUUAAAGCAGGCAUAUGCCUUGAAUACUCCAGCAUGGAAUAAUAUUAAAGAUUUUUAUCUUUCUUAUUGGUUCUAAGAUAAAAAUAAUGAUUAAUAGGGACAGUUGGGGGCAUUUGUAUUUAACAGUCAGAGGUGAAAUUCUUAGAUUUGUUAAAGACAAACUA
rnacentral:rRNA from 1 species